GUGCUGGCGCUUUGUCCUCUGCCUCGCUCCUUUUUUUUCUUUCUCCUUUCCUCUUCUUCAGGAAGGGGCUUUGCAUUUCGAUUCUGCAUAGUUUCCGGGCAGCCUCGCGUCCCCUUUGUCUUUAGGGGUCGCAAUUCCGGGGCUCCUUUCUGAGUUCCUCUUUCCGGGCAAUCUUUUGAUCCCCAGUUUUAAAGACACUUUCUCCAACUCAGUCUUCUCUAGGGAGAUUUUACCUUACAGACGCGAUUGUUGAUUUCUGGCAGGAAAAAAAAAAGUUGGAGGGGCCAGAGAAGUCACAUUAGUCAGCUCGUGGGGGUCCCCGAAAGGAGUGGAUUUGUGCUGCACACCUGGAUCGUGGGCCAGGAAGGCCUAUUUUGGGAACCAGUUUUGUUUCUUAACUGAAAACCCAAAAACUGUAGGAGUGGAAGUGUGAGAACUUUAGAGAUGAGUGGAGACCUUUUCACAGUUCAGGAAGCAGAGGCCUGAGGGGGUUGGGGGGGGGGUGUGAACUGACUUGGCCAAGGUUAUGUGCCAGUGGAAGGGUUCCUUUACUGUAUCUUGCUAUGUCUAGGAACAGAAAAAAAUAAAACGAGGUAAGAAAUGAAAGAUUAGCGAUACCGGUGCUCUUGGGGUUUUAUUAUCACCAUUGAUGUAAAAGCACUUUGCAGCGCAAGAAGGUGACGGACUGUUACAUCGAAGGGAGUUUGAGAUGGCUGGAUACACCAAAGGCUUCUAGAACCGCAGACUGUCAGGGUUUAACACUGGUGGGAUUUUUUUUAAAUACCCAUAUACACCCUAGUACUGUUGAAUAAAAUUUGAUGUUUGCGAACUAGAAAGUCAGGCAUUGCCAUUUCCUGUUGCUACAGAUACAGUUUAGUAUUACAGAGGUCAAAUGUACUUUGUAACAAUCAUUUUUUUUGCCACAACUGUCAAUAAAGAAACCACUAAAUUUCAAAGUGAUGAAGGUUACUAGCAGAAUUAGUGCUGCCACAUAAUUUCUGAGACCCACUGAAAUGUUUUAAGGAAUAUUUAGUUGCUCUUUCCUAAAUAGUAAGUUGUAAGAGAAACCAAAAAAAAAAAGGGAAUUUGCACCAGAACCAACCACCAUAUAAUAUCCUAUAGCCACUAGGGUUCCUAUUACAGUGAAAAUGCAUUUAUAUUCCCUUUACAUAUUUUGGGAAAGCAGAGUUUUGAAAUGCCUGAUAAUGUUUAGAGGAUACAUAUUUCUCCUAGUGGUUCAGCUGUAUGCAGUGUAUUUUCUGCUCUAUUAAAUGUAGCAUUUUUUUUUUGAAUGAAUAUGGGUAAAGAAAAGUAUUUUAUUAUGGGGAGUUCCUGUCAUGGCUCAUCAGAAAAGAAUGCAACUAGUAUCCAUGAGGAUGCAGGUUCGAUGCUUGGCCUUGCUUAGUGGGUUGGGGAUCCGGUGUGGCUGUGGCUGUGGUGUAGGCUGGCAGCUACAGUUCAGACUUGACCCCUAGCCUGGGAAUCUCCAUGUGCCUCAGGUGCAGCCCUAAAAAGACAGAACAAAAUAUAUAUGGAGCUAUGUACAUACCACUGAGAGAAUUAUGGUUUUGAAAUAGAACAUCAAUGCAGUGGCUUUUAGAAUGGUACCUUAGUAACGUAAUCUAAAUCUAGAGAAUAUAGGAGGAAGCAUGUGACCAACUUAUCUUCCCACAGCGAUGAAGUAAUGAGUACUUGUGUGUGAUUUAUACAUGGACUAGAAACAAAUGACUCUUAGCUUCCUAACCGUUUCCAUUAUCUUUUUUUAUUAACCACUUAGAGAACUUGAACCCUACAAUUUUAGUAUCAAAGAAGCCUUUAUCUGAAAUUCAGCAAUUCCUGUCAAUUUUAUUUCCAUUUCAUGUUUUCCUUUCUGGUAAAUAGUAGGUGAAGCUAAAUUUAUUGUACUUGUAAAAGCAUAUAUUAUAAGAUGCCUUUUCAUCAAACCUUUGAAACCUGUCCAACUCAUCAUUUGGUUGGAAUGAUACUCACCCCUUGUUAAGUGGUGAUUAUUUUGCCUUUUGUUUUGUGCUUUAAUGUUUUGCUUGACUUCUUUGACAUAAAAGCAUUUGCUGUUAUAAGGGGACAAUGUCCAAAAAUAUGAAUUCUUUUACAGGGUAUACUUUAUUAGGUCUGGUUUUAAUGUAGUCCAGCCAAUAGAAACAUCUUUAAAUAUAAGGAUGAAUUCAAGAAAUCGUGGUGAAAAUUCUGGGCACUUUAUUUUAAUAAAUGACUCUAACAUAUAUUAGUAUGUAAUGAUUAUAUAUUAAAAUAUAAUCAUAUAUGAUCUACAAUAUGUACUAUAUAAUAUUAUAAAUAAUAAGUGUUAAAUGAAUGAUUUAUUUUGGCAGUGAAAUAAGAGGUAGCCAAACAAACAAGUACAAGAUUAUCUUUGCAAAACUGGCUGUAAGAGUUUAGUGACUAGACAGUACAUGAAAGGGAGCUAAAAAUUUAAUUUCAAAGGCUACAGUGUUUUAAAACCAUUGAUCUUAGUAUCAUUGAUGAGGACAGCCAGACAGCUUUUGUUGACUGUGUCCUUAGCCCAUCUUCUCACAUUGGGAUACGGUGACCUGAGUUAAUAGACUGCAGUGACUGGUGUUUCCCCAGCAGUUAAGAAAAGGAAAAGGGGGGAAACAUCCCUUCCCAGCAAGAAGAAAAGAGAGUGAGAAGACUGAUCUUACACCCCUUUUUGGGGGGUGGGGAGAAACAGGAGAGAUAAAGUUUUCAGUAUGAUUAAAUGAAAUGCCAAUGGGAUAUUUUGACAAGCUCCUGAGUAAAAAAGAACAAGAGUGUGAUUUCAGAAAUGUGCAAACUAUUGCCUGAAAUACUAGAAUCAAUACACAGCCUUUAGGACAUCAUAACUCCAAAGGCAAUUUUAUUUGAUGAAGACAAAAACCCCAGUUCUUUAUGGAUCUUUCAGAGAAUUAUUUUAUUUCCAAAAUAGCGCAUGAAUCCUUCUUACUCUUGACAUUGAGUGUUUAAAACCUAAUAUAAUGGAUUUACAAUGAGAUCCUGCUCUGUAGCAUUGAGAACUAUGUCUAGAUACUUAAAGCACAACAGAACAAAGGGAGGAAAAAAAUGUAUACAUGUAAGUGUAACUUGGUCCCCAUGCUGUACAGUGGAAAAAAAUAAUAAAAAAUAAUUAAAAAAAUAAAACCUAAUACAGUUAAUGGGAUCCUUAACGCUCUAAUUUUUUUAAAUGCUAGUUUUGUUCAUUCUUAAAGGGACUUUCAAAACUGUCAGUAUGACGUUACCUAUUAAUGUUGUUUUGACAUCUUUCAGAAAUAAUUGGUAACAAGACCUCCGUAGCCAUGGCUAGUUCUGACGUGAAACCAAAAUCCAUAAGUCGUGCCAAAAAAUGGUCAGAAGAGAUAGAAAAUCUGUACAGAUUUCAACAAGCAGGAUAUCGAGAUGAAAUUGAAUAUAAACAAGUGAAACAAGUUUCUGUGGUAAGAUUUAUGCCUCCACACACCUGAAUUCAAAAUGAGUUUGUUAGAUGGUGAAAAGCAUUCAAACCAGCAAAAAACCACCCACAAGAAAGAGCCAGAGAAUACUGGAAUUCACUCCACCCCUCUCAUUUUAUUGAUAGGAGACUAAAGCCCAGAAGAAUGAUUUUCAGGCAGACUGGGGCAAAAGGUAGUUUCGCAGCACAGAAACAUUAAGUAUUUUCUAGCUUUUACUGAGCAACUGUGUUAUGCUAAAUGAAUCUUUUAUUCAUAUGGUAGAAUAAAUCUUUUAUUCAUAGAGUAGACCAUAAAAGCAGAGUCUUUUUCCCUCACUAAGGUACUUCUUUUAUCAGCUACUCGGUUUGCUGUAGAACUGAAUUCUUUCUUUCCUGAUUCUUUAUUUUAACCACCAAUUAUAAAGGGGCUUAACCACAAAUUAUAAAUUCUGCUUUAGGUGACAAAAAACUCCUGAUUUUGGUCAUGUAUUCCCAACUUUCUUGAGAAAUUAGAGACACAGUUUUCUUUUCAAAGACUAGACCAAAAUCUAGACAUGGCCCCAGUUUAUAAUGCGAUUUUUAAAAUUCAUUUAUUCUACUGAAUACUAGGAGACUGAAUUUUAAAGAACAUUAUAGAAUAUGACAGAGUAUUCACGUGUUUUAAUAUUUAGACUUGAGGUUACAACCAGGUGCUUAGUAUUGAAUUAUUUUUUAUCAUUAACUCACUAUUUUUCAGGGACUAAUUCAUGUGUGGGUUUUUCAUAUCCCAAUAUGCUUUCUCACCUUCAUUCUACUCUUAAAUCUUUAUUUAAGACUUCCUUAAAAAGUAUAUAGGGAGUUCCUGUUUUGGCUGAGCAGGUUAAGAACCCAACUUUGUCUCUGUGAGGAUUUGGGUUCGAUCCCUGGCCUCACUCAGUGGGUUAAGGAUCUGUGUUGCUGUAGCUGCAGGGUAGACUGCAGAUGCAGCUCUGAUCUGGUGUCGCUGUGGCCAUGGCGUAGGUCACAGCUGCAGCUCCCAUUUGACCCCUAGCCCAGAAACUUCUUCCAUAUGCUGCAGGUGCAGCCAUUUAAAAAAAAAAAAAAAGUAGAUAGGAAAAAAGAUGGAGGCAAUACAGAGCUAAAAUGUAAGACAUGCUUUCAUUUACCAGAUUUCAAUUUAAUAGAGGUUAGUAGGGUUGGUGAGGAAUGAAAAAUAUGGACCAAAUGAGAAAGUGUGUGACGACUGUGACUUCCAUAUAGCCAUUUUUCGCAUAUCUACUCGCAUUUUACUUUUUGGUCCUCAUUACUAAAUUACUAAAAGGGAGUUUUCAGGAGUCCCCAUUGUUGCUCAGUGGUAACAAACCCAUCUGGCAUCCAUGAGGACACAGGUUCAUUCCCUGGCCUCACUCAUUGGUUAAGGAUCCCGGGUUGCCAUGAGCUGUGGUGUUGUUCACAGUUGCAGCAUGGAUCCCGCAUUGCUGUGGCUGGCAGCUACAGCUCUGAUUCCACCCUAAGCCUGGGAACUUCCACAUGCCACAAGUGUGGCCCUAAAAAGACCAACAAUAAAUACAUUUUUAAAAAGCCAGCUUUUGUUAUUGUAUCAUCUGUGGCUUUUAAAUAGGGAAAACACAAACAUUAGCAUUUUGAUGCUGUUCAAAAAUAAGUGGCAUGCACCUUGCCUUAAGAUUGGAAGGCCCCUAAAAGUUGUAUAAAAAACCAGAAUCAUGUAGGCAGAGUAACUGUAUAGGCACUGCUGCACCUACACCCCUGUCUGUAUAUUAGUGUGACUGAGAUAAGGUGAGAUUUAAGGAAACACAAAGAACAUCCUUCAAGGGGAAGUCCCAGAAUUACCUGAGGCGUAUGUUUGUGUGUGUUUGUGUGUGUUGAAGGGAAGACCUCAUCCCCUGUAUGACUGAACCAUUACAGAGAGGUUUUGCAUUUCACUUCAGUGUGUAAUUAUUGGGUACCUACCAUGUGCAAAUUUCUGUGCCAAGUGCUUUAAAAUGGUAAAUAUAUAGCAAGUGCCAGACCUCAAGAACUUUAGUGAGCCAGUGGGAAGCCCACAGGAGUUGCAUUCCUUCUGCUCAGGCUUUGCAUCCUUGCUCUGCUCUUUGGCUGAGUAACCCUGACCGAGCUUUGUAACCCUCACUGAACUCAACUGUACAAUGGUGAUGGCAGUGCCAGCUCUAGAAAAUUUUCUCCGGAAUUAAAUGAAAUCGUGUGUUGGAAGAGCCAGACAUUGUAGUAAUUUGCUGAGUGAAAGCCUGGUGUUUGGGGAAUGAUAGCUUUUAUUAUUCUUCUGACUUGGAGUGGAAGAUUAAGAACGAGCAGAACAAUAAAGCCUUAUGCAAGUGAAGAUAUAUG
rnacentral:lncRNA from 1 species